GGAAGUAAAAGUCGUAACAAGGUUUCCGUAGGUGAACCUGCGGAAGGAUCAUUAUUGAAAUAAACUUGGUGUGGGUUGCAGCUGGCCUUUGGGCAUGUGCUCACCUUCAUCAUCUUUAUAUUUCCACCUGUGCACCUUUUGUAGACAGGAAAGACAAGGGAAUUUAUUGUGGUGCCAUUUUAGGCCCCCAUUUAUUUCUUGUGUAUUCCUUGUCUAUGUUUUUAUAUACCCCAAAAAUGUAACAGAAUGUUAAUCUAUGGGCCUUUGUGCUUAUAAACAAAAAUUAUACAACUUUCAGCAACGGAUCUCUUGGCUCUCGCAUCGAUGAAGAACGCAGCGAAAUGCGAUAAGUAAUGUGAAUUGCAGAAUUCAGUGAAUCAUCGAAUCUUUGAACGCACCUUGCGCUCCUUGGUAUUCCGAGGAGCAUGCCUGUUUGAGUGUCAUUAAAUUAUCAAAAAAAGAUCUUCAAUGCUCUUGUUUUGGAUGUGAGGGUUUUUGUUGGCGAAAGUCGACUCCCUUGAAAUGUAUUAGCUUGGUUGACUAGACUUUGUCUAUUGGUGUGAUAAUUAUCUACGCCAUUGGAUUGUCUGCUUGUCAAACUGCUUCUAAUUGUCCCUUUAGGGACUCUAUUAAAUGACCAUUUGACCUCAAAUCAGGUAGGACUACCCGCUGAACUUAAGCAUAUC
rnacentral:rRNA from 1 species